rnacentral:rRNA from 1 species
GGGGAAUAUUGCACAAUGGGCGCAAGCCUGAUGCAGCCAUGCCGCGUGUGUGAAGAAGGCCUUCGGGUUGUAAAGCACUUUCAGCGGGGAGGAAGGCGAUAAGGUUAAUAACCUUGUCGAUUGACGUUACCCGCAGAAGAAGCACCGGCUAACUCCGUGCCAGCAGCCGCGGUAAUACGGAGGGUGCAAGCGUUAAUCGGAAUUACUGGGCGUAAAGCGCACGCAGGCGGUCUGUCAAGUCGGAUGUGAAAUCCCCGGGCUCAACCUGGGAACUGCAUUCGAAACUGGCAGGCUAGAGUCUUGUAGAGGGGGGUAGAAUUCCAGGUGUAGCGGUGAAAUGCGUAGAGAUCUGGAGGAAUACCGGUGGCGAAGGCGGCCCCCUGGACAAAGACUGACGCUGAGGCACGAAAGCAUGGGUAGCAAAC